AACGAACGCUGGCGGCGCGCCUAAUACAUGCAAGUCAAGCGAGAAGACGUAGCAAUACGUUUGUAAAGCGGCGAACGGGUGAGGAAUACAUGGGUAACCUACCCUCGAGUGGGGAAUAACUAGCCGAAAGGUUAGCUAAUACCGCGUACGCUCCUUGGACUUCGGUUCAGGGAGGAAAGCGAUACCGUGGGUAUCGCGCUCUUGGAUGGGCUCAUGUCCUAUCAGCUUGUUGGUGAGGAACGGCUCACCAAGGCUUCGACGGGUAGCUGGUCUGAGAGGACGAUCAGCCACACUGGCACUGCGACACGGGCCAGACUCCUACGGGAGCAGCAGUAGGAAUAUUGCGCAAUGGGCGAAAGCCUGACGCAGCGACGCCGCGUGGGGGAUGAAGGUCUUCGGAUUGU
rnacentral:rRNA from 1 species